AUCGAACGCUGGCGGCAGGCCUAACACAUGCAAGUCGAGCGAGCGGCGGACGGGUGAGUAAUGUAUGGGGACUGCCCGAUAGGGGGGGGUAACUUCUGGAAACGGUAGCUAAUACCGCCUACUAUCGGAUCACCCAUAUAGGUUUAGCUAGUAGGUGAGGUAAUGGCUCACCUAGGCGACGAUCCCUAGCUGGUCUGAGAGGAUGAUCAGCCACACUAGGAAUGAGACACGGCCCAGACUCCUACGGAGGCAGCAGUUGGGAAUAUUGGACAAUGGGCGCAAGCCUGAUGCAGCAAUGCCGCGUGUAUGAAGAAGGUUUUCGGAUCGUAAAACUCUGUUGUUAGAGAAGCGGUAUCUAACCAGAAAGCCACGGCUAACUACGUGCCAGCAGCCGCGGUAAUAC
rnacentral:rRNA from 1 species